ACCACAUUCCAAAGCCGUUAAGAGACCUAACUGCAGUCACAGAGCCAGAAAUGGUGGUGGAGGAUGGCUAGAAAUGAACAAAAUGGUUCCUAAUGCUGGCUAGAGUUGACACAAAUUCCUCAGUGACCUCUGGUUAUUGUAACUGAAUGAUAUGCUAAGCACACUGUUAUCCAGGUCAGUAACUGCACCUACAACCCAACUAGCUCUUGUCUGCAUUGUUACUUGCAGGCCAUUGGUUGUGACUGAGAAGAAAAAAAGGGACAUAUUCCUAACUUUAAUCAAAUCAUCAAUGAAGUCUAUAAUCCAAAAUGUGACAUCAGAUUAGAAGAAGAAAGGAAAUUCUGUUUUUUAAAUAGAAAAUCAAGAUGGAAAUGAUGAUAAAUCAGAUUCAGGUCACAGUUUCAUCCAUGUUUGACUGACAAACUAAAAAAAGGAGUAAACAAAUGGGAAAGAAGGAAAGAAAGAAAAGAAGAGGAAGGAAUGAAACGUGAGAAAAAACAGAAGAAAAGGGAAAGACAGGAAGAAACAAAACUUUAGGAGUUUUUAUUCUAACUACAAGUUUGAGGAGAAACCAUGUGGUUUUAGCCUUUACUUCUUUUAAAAACUACUUAAUAACACUUAGCAUUCACUUUUGCUGGAUACUGUUAAACUACAUAUUUUUGAUAUUUUUCACUCUGUAGAUAUAUUAACUAAGGAUCUUGUUUGACAAAAAUUUCAAAUGAUCACAAAACCAUAGCAGAUAAGCCAAACAGAAAAUACAUUGAAGUUUCAAGGUCUGUUUUCUUAGCAAUCAGCAUAUGUCUCUCUUCUUUUAGCCAUGAAGAGAUAGAAAGUCCUUUCAGGCCAUAUUAUAACAGUUUGGAUAAAAGCCACUGGCUAUAUGUUUCCUUUCUCUUUCUACCCUUCUCUUGAUCUCUAGAGUCCAAGAAACCCCACAAAGAUUACAUCUUCCAAACUUCCUUCAACUGGAUAAAUCUACUUGACUGUGUGAGCAACAAAACACGGGUCAAAGUGAUACAGUUUCUAAUGGUCCAAAGCUAGCUCCUCUAUCUUUCACUCAUGUGGGAGAGUUAGCAGGACAUGAAUAGGUGGAAAAGCAGAAACAGACUCCAUGAGAUGGUGAUUUUGUGUUUGCAGACAAAGUGGGGUAGGAUGGGGGGUAUCUACAAAGGAACAACCAGAAAAAGGGAAGGACCCCUGAGAACUAUAAAACACCCAAUUGAGAGUCCAUUUAGGAAAAGCUGACACUGAGAAGGGAGGGGUAGAGGGUGAGGGAUCUAUCUGCCUAUCAGACAGGCUUGUUCCUGACUUUCUUUUAUUUCAAGCUGUAUUACCAUUUUAUUUUUAUUACACACGGGGAAUGUUGCCCUAGGCAGGUCUUUCUUUGACAGCUACAAAUUCUUCUUCUUACUACACAACUCUUGCUAAUCAAUACAAGAAGAGUUGGCAACGUAAUUUCUUUUCUGGAAGAUUCU